UUAUCCUUAAUUUAAUGGUAAAAUAUUAAACUACGGCUUUAAAUAUAUUGGUUCAAUUCCAAUAGGAUAUUAA
rnacentral:tRNA from 1 species